rnacentral:rRNA from 1 species
CCUACGGGAGGCAGCAGUGAGGAAUAUUGGUCAAUGGACGAGAGUCUGAACCAGCCAAGUAGCGUGAAGGAUGACUGCCCUAUGGGUUGUAAACUUCUUUUAUAAAGGAAUAAAACGAGGCACGUGUGCCUUUUUGCAUGUACUUUAUGAAUAAGGAUCGGCUAACUCCGUGCCAGCAGCCGCGGUAAUACGGAGGAUCCGAGCGUUAUCCGGAUUUCUUGGGUUUAAAGGGCGCGUAGAUGGGUUGUUAAGUCAGUUGUGAAAGUUUGCGGCUCAACCGUAAAAUUGCAAUUGAUACUGGCAGUCUUGAGUACAGUUGAGGUAAGCGGAAUUCGUGGUGUAGCGGUGAAAUGCUUAGAUAUCACGAAGAACCCCGAUUGCGAAGGCAGCUUACUAAACUGUGACUGACAUUGAUGCUCGAAAGUGUGGGUAUCAAACAGGAUUAGAUACCCCUGUAGUC